GAAACAGAAAAUCGAAAAAGAUUAUUAAACUAUGUCGUCACACCUAUGGUCGGAACCUCGAAGUAGUUGAUAUUUUGAUUUUUACUUACAAUUUCACCUGAUUUACGGUACAAAAAAAGUAUUUUUCUCUCUUUCACAAAAAACGCUGCCAUUUUAUUUAUUUUCGAUGAAAUAAAUAAGUGGAGGUUCCGACCAUAGGUGUGACGACAUAGUUUAAUAAACUUCUUCGAUUUUCUGUUUCAGAUUACCAGGAGAGCCAAAAUCACUUGCGCCAGCGGAUAACUUUUUUUUGCACACAUGCAUAUUACUUUGUAAAUAAAUGAUGAAAUAUUUUUUAUUUGCUUUCCUUAAUCAUACCUUUAAGGGGGAAAACACAUUCAUUCAAUUUUAUGCAAUAGUUCCUGAGAAAAAAAUGAUUGAAAAUAUGCUGUUUUUUAUGGGUUCACAGUGAAAUGUCCCCUUAAACAAAACUCGGAUAAACCAUCGAUUUUCGUGAACGAGAUCGAAAGAGUUCUUUUCCCUUCCUCCAGUCGCGAGGUUGCGCCUUGAGCCGCUAGAGGGUGCGCCGAUAGCGCCGAUAACUCGUAAUCACGAAAGGUAUACGUCGACCUGCUGUAAACGUCCAUCUCGGCGGAUAUCUUCACGUGCGUUUCCGUGGUGUUCGUGUGUUGGUGGCUCGAGUGUCAAGUAUCGAAAAGGUUUUACGAGGUGUGCCUGUCAGGACGGUGUUUUCGUCUCGUAUCGUCGCGAAGAGGAAGCAACCAGCGAGAGUUGGCGAAAGGAACGUGUGUGCUCUCUCACGGCAGCAGGUGAAUUUCUCAGGGACGAGGCUGUUAACAGCAUUCGAAGAUCUCGAAGAUCGUUGAUAAGGGCCAGCCUGGAAUUUCGUACGACGAGAAACGCAGCAGGGAGCCGAGUAGAUAUCAUCGCCGUUUAAUCCCAGCGCAAACAGGCUAGGAUUCGUAUUCAAACACGCCGUGUCGCGAAAAAGCUUCGGCGUAACGACUAUCAGUCGUUCCCAGUCCUUCGUCGAGCACGUGGUUCCAAUAACCGUAACCCGGAAACGCAUCACAACCCGCCUCUUGUCGCGACCGUCGUUCGUUCAGCCCGCGAACAAUACCGCAGGGAAGAAUCGGCAAUCGGAACAAUCGGCCGUUUCCUGUUGCGUUCGAUCGCGCUCGAAAGCUUCGCGAAGAUAACGCGCCUCUGUCGGGAAUCAAUCCACGUGGCGUGCCAGAGAAACGUUUUACGACGCGGCUGUAAAAUCGACGUAAACGUCGCGUGUCCUCGAACUUCGAAACGGGGAACGAAAAAGGAAACGAUUAAAGUCCAACGACACACCGCGAUCGGUUCGAUGAGAAAUAACGCGUUGCGGGUCAGGUAUUAAUCUCAACUGGAAUUCAGUGCGUGACCGAAUACAGGACGACUUUCCGAGGUAAACCGAGUCACAUUUUGCUCAUCAGCACUGAGUGGUUCCAAUUGACGGUCGGGUCGACCCUCCAGUGUAGACACUAUUGGUCAGCCUUUUAAUACCGGCGGUCGCGAUUGGAUCAGAUACCCAGAUCGUUCUUAGACGGAAGACAUCGCCGGAGCAUUCGGUUCAAAACUGUUAACGUCGCCAGUGUCGUGCAAUUUGUUGUCAGCCGUCGUUCUUAAGAGCGGUGGAUCCCAGGAGGCGUCCUCCCGACCGGUUGAUCUCAGUUGGUUUAAGUCGGUCAACGGUGACACUGAGCUGCCCGCGACGAGAGACAAGGAGACCGACUCGGACGAAGGAGUUUCCAUCGGGAACGUCGGAUGCGAUUCGGCUCUCACGCAGUCUGUUUCGAAGGAAACAGGAUUCUCCGUGCGAUGAACGUUCGUUGACGAAAAACCCGCGCAACGAUAUACGAAAGAUACACCUUCCUCGGUCGCGACUCGAGCAGUUAUCACCGCUAGUGUUCGUCAGCGGAGACAGUUUUAUCGAGCACAACCGUUGCGUCGUUGAUAACGCGUGAUAAGGACGGGUCUCGAAAUAACACCUGCAGCGUUGGUUGGCAAUUGGAUGGCUCAGAUCUAUUGGCUGUUGCUCUUUGAAAGAUCCUGAUUGCCUGGUCUCGAAACGAUAGCGAGAGGACACGGGGACGUAGACAAUUUUCAACGGGAGUUCCGAGGUCUGUUUCGCCCGGCCAAGAAAAAUUCUCUCUGGUUGACCGCUUCGGGAAAGAGUUCUUUUCUCCGGUCGUUCGAGGACUUCGAGGAACGUCGUGGAACGAAAUACCCAUUCCCACUUGGCUUUAUCGCACGAGGCCUCGUUCUCUCUCCUGGUCCGAGUUUGUUUCUACCGACACCAUGGAACGAAGGAUCCUGAAAAUGUGGUGACGACGUGCCAGGCGAAGGCCUCCGAUUACCAAGACACUACCGAGUGUGUGAGCCAUAGUCGUUAGAAAACCAUUGAGAUAUAUAUGUAUGUAUUUCAAGUGUCCAGUGACACUCGCAGAGAGCAGCAACCCUUUAUCGUUAUAAAAUAAAUAGAUACAUAAAUACAUCGAAUCGUAACCGAGGAUUAAAGAAAAGCUUCGUUCAAAGAUCGAAUACUGUAUUUCCUUGUUCGAUCGCAACGAAAAGUGAACAGUUUCCAGUUUACGGUACAGCAUUCUGUUUCGCGGGACUUUGCGCAUCGAGGAGCAACGAUACGUUCGACAGUAAACAGCCAAGACGCCGUCGUUGUCAUUUCCCGCGGCUUCCAGGUGUACACGGAGAAUAACAACAAAAUGCU